rnacentral:rRNA from 1 species
UACGUAGGGACCAAGCGUUGUUCGGAUUUACUGGGCGUAAAGGGCGCGUAGGCGGCUUAACAAGUCACUUGUGAAAUCUCCGGGCUUAACUCGGAACGGCCAAGUGAAACUGUCAAGCUAGAGUGCAGAAGGGGCAAUCGGAAUUCUUGGUGUAGCGGUGAAAUGCGUAGAUAUCAAGAGGAACACCUGCGGCGAAGGCGGGUUGCUGGGCCGACACUGACGCUGAGGCGCGAAAGCUAGGGGAGCGAACGGG